GGGCGAGUGGCGGAAUGGCAGACGCAGGGGACUCAAAAUCCCCCGGGGGCAACCCCGUGUGAGUUCGACUCUCACCUCGGGCA
rnacentral:tRNA from 1 species